GAGACGUGCAAAGGACCGCUUUUUCCGAUUCAUCUGAAUCGCCUUUUUGCAGCCUUCUCCUUCCAAGGACAUGCUGUAGGGAAAGUCCCCGGACACAUCUAUAUCUCGAAGAAGCCGGGCGGGAACAUGGAUAGGAUACUUUUCGUCACCUUUCUCUCUCGAGGCGUGGUAACGUACGGAUUCGGCCGACUUGUCGCAGACGCCUAGGUGGCUGCUGGGCUGCUGGGCGAGGAGCUGUCUGCGUGUCCUUUCGGCAGCGGCGAGUUCGAGGUCGAGUGGGAAGAGGUACAGGAGACACAGCACGAUCAGAGACCAUAACAGAGGAAAGCGACCGUCGCCGUAAUGGUGCGGUUCGACAUCAAUGGCCAUCAUGCGUUCUCCUUUUCCCUCUCAUCCGCUCGACUUUGGAUCGCUGCUACUGGAGAUGCGCAUUCAAGGACAGCUCCUUCGCUCGGUGACGUCCAGUGGUCGCUGUUUGACGCAUUUGCAGUGGUAGGUCUGCUGUUUCUGGAGAUCGUCGAGGCAGAGAAAGGGGUUGAAUGGUUGUCGGCAUGUUUUUCAUCCGUCUAGAGCUUCUUCGUUGUCGCGACGCUUCGCGGGUGGGUUUGCGGGGCCAGGAGAACGGAUCACAGGGGAGGGGUGCAGCAGUGGUGCAGGACCGGGACGUGGGUUUUGGCCUCUUGAGGCUUCCGGUGGUGGAGGAGGCUGGUUGUGGGCGCGGUGUCCAUGAUGACGAUUCUCCCCGUAUGUUACGGAACGGAGGGAUGGGAGGCGAGUUCGCGACGAUACGAGCGCUCGCCUCACUCCAAACCAUCCCCCCCGACCGUCACGCGAGCGGUGUCGCAAUCACGAGCCAUCGCGCGCACACCAUCCGCACGCACUCUACCACCGCGCAAAAACCUCGCCCGGAUUCGGUUCCCCUCCACCCCACGCCCUUUCUGGUUCCUUGCCCCCCAAACCACCCAUGCCCGCGUAGCGUCGCGCAACACAUCCCAUCGCCAGGCCCCGCGCUGCGGCGAUGAUGCUCUGAUCUUGUUCGUCAUCUGUGCUCUAGGGCAUGCUGAUAGUUAUGCGGUCGCCUUUUGCAAAAAAGGUAACUCAACGGGGCUUACUCUUGCAUCGUCU
rnacentral:RNase_MRP_RNA from 2 species